rnacentral:rRNA from 1 species
AAAUUGAAGAGUUUGAUCAUGGCUCAGAUUGAACGCUGGCGGCAGGCCUAACACAUGCAAGUCGAACGGUAACAGGAAGAAGCUUGCUUCUUUGCUGACGAGUGGCGGACGGGUGAGUAAUGUCUGGGAAACUGCCUGAUGGAGGGGGAUAACUACUGGAAACGGUAGCUAAUACCGCAUAAUGUCGCAAGACCAAAGAGGGGGACCUUCGGGCCUCUUGCCAUCGGAUGUGCCCAGAUGGGAUUAGCUUGUUGGUG